GUGCUUGCUUCGGCAGUACAUAUACCAAAACUAGAACAAUACAGAGAAGAUUAGCAUGGCCUCUGUGCAAAGAUGACACACACAUUCGUGAUGCAUUCCCUAUUUUU
rnacentral:snRNA from 1 species